GACGAACGCUGGCGGCGUGCCUAAUACAUGCGAGUCGAACGCUUCUUUCCUCCCGAGUGCUUGCACUCAAUUGGAAAGAGGAGUGGCGGACGGGUGAGUAACACGUGGGUAACCUACCCAUCAGAGGGGGAUAACACUUGGAAACAGGUGCUAAUAUCGCAUAACAGUUUAUGCCGCAUGGCAUAAGAGUGAAAGGCGCUUUCGGGUGUCGUUGAUGGAUGGACCCGCGGUGCAUUAGCUAGUUGGUGAGGUAACGGCUCACCAAGGCCACGAUGCAUAGCCGACCUGAGAGGGUGAUCGGCCACACUGGGACUGAGACACGGCCCAGACUCCUACGGGAGGCAGCAGUAGGGAAUCUUCGGCAAUGGACGAAAGUCUGACCGAGCAACGCCGCGUGAGUGAAGAAGGUUUUCGGAUCGUAAAACUCUGUUGUUAGAGAAGAACAAGGACGUUAGUAACUGAACGUCCCCUGACGGUAUCUAACCAGAAAGCCACGGCUAACUACGUG
rnacentral:rRNA from 1 species